GACGAACGCUGGCGGCGUGCUUAAUACAUGCAAGUCGAGCGAGGCCUUGGAAUUGGAGUCCUUCGGGAUGAAGAGUCCUUGGCCUAGCGGCGGACGGGUGAGUAACGCGUGGGCAACCUACCCCAAAGUCCGGGAUAACAGUGGGAAACCGCUGCUAAUACCGGAUGGCUUUACCUGAGGGCAUCCUUGGGUAAAGAAAGGUUACGCUUUGGGAUGGGCCCGCGUCCCAUUAGCUAGUUGGUGAGGUAACGGCUCACCAAGGCCACGAUGGGUAGCCGGCCUGAGAGGGUGAACGGCCACACUGGGACUGAGACACGGCCCAGACUCCUACGGGAGGCAGCAGUAGGGAAUAUUGCGCAAUGGGCGGAAGCCUGACGCAGCGACGCCGCGUGAGCGAAGAAGGCCUUCGGGUCGUAAAGCUCUGUCCUUGGGGAAGAAGGCGAAAGCUUGACGGUACCCAAGAAGAAAGCCCCGGCUAACUACGUG
rnacentral:rRNA from 1 species